CACCCCCAAUCUUCUCUCUAGAUAUGCUUCUGAUCUGCGAACGUCAUUGCGUCAUCCAAUGCGGGAUCUUCUGAACUCUAGCAGGUUAUUCAGCUCGCGAUCGGCUAUAUUACGUUUGUGUCAGUACAAGUACAGUACAACCAUGAACUUGAUCGCACAGGAACUCAGUAAUCACAAUCUCUACAAGCAUAUGCAUCUUGUCUGAGUCAAUUAAGGUUAAGAAAAUGUGCAAGAUCUCAAGCCACGACCAGUGAAAGGAGUGGCUGAAAACUGGAUGGUCUACUUUCAAGAACGCUUGCGUUUGGGUCUGAUGAAAUUAAUCCAUAUUCUAGUGGAGGCUAUCAAGUCACACAUUUUUGGUAAAAAAAACUCCAAUGUGCCAGGCAUUGACUGCUGCUCAGAAGGCUUUUAGUGAGUCUGGACAUGCAACUCCAAAGUGUUGUUUAUUCUUUCUGGUAAACCAAUUGAUUAGACUUGAGAGUCUCUCCCCGGCUUCGUCAUUCUCCAGGCAAGGAUUGACAAUCUGGGGAAUGACAAAAGCGGGAGAGACUGGCUCGAGUCUACCAAUUGAUGAAGAUCCAUGUCAAUUGCUGAUUGCUGAACUUCCUAACUCAGGUGUAACCAUGCAUGCAUAGUCAUAUGUUUUCUUACAUCAGAUACCAGAAACAACCCUAAACAUUUGUUAUAUGAGGCUGAUGAUGAGUGGGGAUCUAUAGCUAACGACAGAAGACCGAUUAUUGUUUGACAUGAGCUCAAUCAAGGAGAACACAGAUACUGAACUAUUAUAUCUUUCCGCUGCAAAUUAGAGCUGGCAAAAGUCACUUGAUGAGAAAGUUUGGCGACAAAAAAAUUUGGCAAAAUCUUGCAAAAUGACUAUUUAAAGUUCGACAAGUUAUAUUUUGACGAUUUGCAAAGUUGGACGUCACUUCAUCUGCUACAUGUGAUGUGUGUUUGGCGUUGCGAGGCUAGAAGUGCACGUGAAAAUGGAUACUAUACAACCGGGAGCAUGGAGUCAUUGGAGAGUUACGAAGUUUCAAGCUGCAUUUAAGGCCAUCACGUUUAUCGUGACAAGAGCAGACCGUCUUUGCGCUGAAAGUCUGUACAGCGCCAUUUUGUCAUUCAGCUGUGUGCAUGUGCAAUGAAGCUAAACUAAACUAAUUUUGGCGAUUCACUCUUAAAUUGCCAAAAUGAAACAGUCGCCAAAAUUUCUUGUUCUACGGUGUUGUCGUUUCAAAGAGGGAUUGCUGUGACACUAAUUCAUUUCUUGCAAACAGCUAGUUGACCAUGCCAAAUACAUCAACUAAACGAAUGCUGCUUUUGAGCUCAAAUAUCAAGAUGAACAUACAUGCUAUGCAAUUGCAACUGCUGCUGUGUUUCACUUGACAAUGAAUAGAAUUGUUAGUCGAGAAGGGGGUAGUUCAGACUUUUGUGACAUACAUGAAGCGAUUGAAAACAGAUUUAGAGAUCAGCGCGGCAGUAUUAAGUGUUCUUGAAAAUUUUUUGUUCAAAGUAUCGACUACAUUAUCGCGAAAUAGAUGAAGCUGGUGCAAGACAGGCAAUCAAUGAAUGGUUAUGUGUUAUUGGCAUAUUCACUCUUUCUCAAGCUCAAAGAGAAGGGUUUCUGAAGUUUUCUAGAAAUACACCAGAGAGAAUUCUUGAGGAAGUCAUGUUAACGGUGAGUUAUAAACAAUA